UACAGAGGGUGCGAGCGUUGUCCGGAAUCACUGGGCGUAAAGGGCGUGUAGGCGGCUGGGUAAGCCGCGUGUGAAAUCCCGGGGCUCAACCCCGGAAUGGCACGCGGGACUGCCUGGCUAGAGCAUGGUAGAGGCGAGUGGAAUUCCUGGUGUAGCGGUGGAAUGCGUAGAGAUCAGGAAGAACACCGGUGGCGAAGGCGGCGCGCUGGGCCAUUGCUGACGCUGAGGCGCGAAAGCGUGGGGAGCAAACAGG
rnacentral:rRNA from 1 species